UAUUGAAAUUAAACGUGUGAUGCGAGAAAAAAAACCUAAGGAAUGGAAUUCACGGAAUGUGGCUCAUUGUCAGGUAGCGCAUGAAGACUGAAUAGCACCUUCUACAACGGAGAGGAAGGUGGUAGGUUUCCAACAAUGAAACGGUACAUUGUCAUGUGGGCGUGUCUGCAAGUGGUACUGUCGUUUCCUCCACAAGCUCUGAUCCCGGGAGAAUAUGCCUGUUUAGAUCAACAGAUCGGAGAUGACCAGUGUUCCUUUUACAGAGGUCUAUAUGACGUCAUUGAGGCAGAGUUGUUCUGUCGACACUGGGGCAGACGCUGCUGUCUGUCGUGUAUGGAGAUGAGGAUAGGCCUCGACAGGAAGUCGGUGUAACGACACGCAGAGAUGAAUUCUGUACUUCAACGACGCCAUGGUAUGAUACAUCACAGCUCUUCAUUCAUUUCAGUGCAAGGACUCAAACGACAUGAAAAUACUUGCGUUUUAUUUCUGUUUCAGAAUUAUGAAAGUUUGUUAAAGAUUUCUGUUAUAAUAAUUAUUGUGAAUAAAAAUAAAAUAAAUUGAUCUUUGAAU